CCUACGGGAGGCUGCAGUGGGGAAUGUUGGACAAUGGGCGCAAGCCUGAUCCAGCGAUUCCGCGUGUGGGAUGACGGCCCUCGGGUUGUAAACCACGUUAGUAGAGAACGAAAAGGGGCGAGCGAAUAAAUAGCUCUGCUGACGGUACUCUAAGAAGAAGCACCGGCUAACUACGUGCCAGCAGCCGCGGUAAUACGUAGGGUGCGAGCGUUAAUCGGAAUUACUGGGCGUAAAGGGUGUGCAGGCGGCGGAGUAAGACAGAGGUGAAAUCCCCGGGCGUAACCUGGGAACCGCCUCUGUGCCUGCUUGGCUAGAGUGCGUCAGCGGGAGGUGGCAUUCCCCGUGUAGCCGU
rnacentral:rRNA from 1 species